rnacentral:lncRNA from 1 species
CAUAUCCCUAAAGGUACACUCUGUCAGCAUCACCCAACCCACCACAUAUCCUUAAAGUACACUCUGUCAGCAUCACCAAACCCAACCACAUAUCCCUAAAGUACACUCUGUCAGCAUCACCCAACCCAACCACAUAUCCAAGGUACCUCUGUUCAGCAUCACCCAACCACACAUCCCUCAAGGUACACUCUGUCAGCAUCACCCAACCCAACCACAUAUCCCUAAGGUACCCUCUGUCCAGCAUCACCAAACCACACAUCCCUAAAGGUACACUCUGUCAGCAUCACCCAACCACACAUCCCUCAAGGUACACUCUGUCAGCAUCACCCAACCACACAUCCCUCAAGGUACACUCUGUCAGCAUCACCCAACCACACAUCCCUAAAGGUACACUCUGUCAGCAUCACCCAACCCAACCAACAUUCCCUAAAGGUACACUCUGUCAGCAUCACCAACCCAACCACAUAUCCCUAAAGGUACACUCUGUCAGCAUCACUCACCAACCCAACCACUAUCCCUAAAGGUACACUCUGUCAGAUCACCCAACCCAACCACAUAUCCUAAAGGUACACAGGAACAAUCUUUAAUUCAUUAGCCUAGUUAUUGGCAGUCAUCCAACUUAAGGGAUAAUGGAUAUCAUCAACAGCAUUUAGAGUUGAUUAUUGAGCCCAAAUGAUUACUAGAGCCAGUCACACUGAAAUGAUCAUAGAACAGUCACACUAACUGAAUGAUACUAGAACCAGUCGCACUAACUGAAAUGAUUACUAGAACCCAGUCACACUAACUGAAAUGAUUACUGAACCAGCGCCAUUACUAACUGAAAUGCUCACUAGAACCAGUCGCACUAACUGAAAAUGAUCACUAGAACCAGUCCACUAACUGAAAUGAUUUACUAGACACCAGUACGCACUAACUGAAAUGAUUACAGAACCAGUCCACACUAACUGAAAUGAUUACUAGAACCAGUCACACUAACUGAAAUGAUUCUAGAACCAGUACCACUAACUGAAAUGAUUACUAGAACGUCACACAUAACUGAUAAGAUUACUAGAAACCAGUCACAAUAACUGAAAUGAUUUACUAGAACCAGUCACACUAACUGAAAUGAUCACAGAGCCAGUCACACUAAUGAAAGCUAAUAAACCAGUCCCACUAACUGAAAGUCUGACCAAUGAUCACUAGAACCAGUCACCCACUAACUGAAAUGAUUACUAGAAACCAGUCACUAACUGAAAUGAUUACUAGAACCAGUCACCACUAAUGAAAUGAUUACUAGACCAGUCACACUACUGAAAUGAUUACUAGAACCAGUCAACUAACUGAAAU